UCUGAAAGUUACGGUGAACUUCGAUAUUGUUUCAUUGGCAGUGUGCGUCAAUACAAACCUAUCCACAGGUGCAUGUCUUUGGAGGUGGGAGGAAGCCAAAGUACCCGGAGGGAACCCACGCAGUCACAGGGAGAACAUAUAAACUCCACACAGAAAGACCCCGAGCUUGGGAAUCGAACUCAGGACCUUUUUGCUGUGAGGCACGAGCACUAACCCCUCUCCGUGCUCCCCCGUUUAGACUUUAAAGAAAUCAAGCUGAUCAUCAUUUGCAGGAUUGCAGAGCCACCAGCCACAUUCCAGAACUGUGAUGUUUCAUGUAACAGGAAUACUUGGAGACAACAUUUAUCUCAUCCAACACACUGAUCAGUAUGCUGGCAUGAAGUCCACAUCUAAUCCUAUCUUCAAACCCCAAACAGAAAAAAACCCCAAAGAAAGUACGUCAGUGCAGAAUGUGUUUAAAAAAAAGAUGUGCAGAAAAAUACUCACAUGUGCAGUUUGGAGCCAUGCCAGACCACGUGCCAUUCGCCAGACACUGGCGUGUGGGCGAGCCUGACAGGAAAUAACCCUCCAUACAGGAAUACACAAUGGAGUGGGAGAAGGUUGUACCAUCCACACGGGAAAUACGGCCAUGAGCAGGUGUCCCUGGGUUCCCACACUGCAUUGCUGCAAUGUAGGCGAGAAAUGGAGGAGUUGAGGGUCAAAAGUGAAACAAAAAAAUUGAUUUCAUAUUUUCCAUAACAAGCUGGAAGAUGACGAGUAUUCACCUCAAAGCGAACAAAGGGCUUCUUCAUAUUACAAUGAUAACCAUAUUUGUUUAUGAGAUAAAUUGUUGGAUUUUUUUUUUUUUGCAUUGACCUAGUGUAGAUUACUGCUCAUUGAUGGGAAUUGCUCCUGUUUAUUUUGUACAGCCUCAAAAACAAAACAUGAUAUACAAGUAGGGAAGCAACGAUUAUAGAUUUGGACUGUAAGAUUAUUAAUUGAGGAAUAAUUACAGUUUCACGAUUAUCACAAUGAUUACGCAUUGAGUUUGAGUUUAUUUCCAAACAUGCAUAUAAGGUCACACAGGAUGUAGGGAUGGGUACCUUUCACAUUGGAAUCGAUAUGCCAUUUCCAGGUGCCUGGAAAUUGGUAACCAUUUUGUGUACUUCUGUGUGUG